CCCUUAGAUGUCCUGGGCCGCACGCGUGCUACACUGACGCCUACAGCGAGUACUUCCCAGCCCCGAGAGGUGGCUGGUAAUCAGCAAUAGGCGUCGUGAUGGGGAUAGAUCUUUGGAAUUAUGGAUCUUGAACGAGGAAUGCCUAGUAAGCGCAGGUCAUUAGCCUGCGCUGAUUAAGUCCCUGCCCUUUGUACACACCGCCCGUCGCUCCUACCGAUUUCGAGUGGUCCGGUGAAUCUUUCGGACUGCGCGCGGCCUCGUGCCGUGUCGCGGAAAGUCAGGUAAACCUUAUCGCUUAGAGGAAGGAGAAGUCGUAACA
rnacentral:rRNA from 1 species